rnacentral:rRNA from 1 species
CCCUUAGACGUUCUGGGCCGCACGCGCGCUACACUGACGAAGGCAACGAGCUUUCCUUUACCGAAAGGUACGGGUAGUCUUUUGAAACUUCGUCGUGCUGGGGAUAGAUCCUUGCAAUUUUUGAUCUUAAACGAGGAAUGCCUAGUAAGCGCAAGUCAUCAACUUGCGUUGAUUACGUCCCUGCCCUUUGUACACACCGCCCGUCGCUACUACCGAUUGAAUGGUUUAGUGAGGCCUUCGGAUCCGCGACUCGUUUGUGGAGAAGUUGGACAAACUCAGUCAUUUAGAGGAAGUAAAAGUCGUAACA